ACCCGUGCCUGCUCCUAUUCCCACAACGAAGGUUGUCAUAAAUGGGCCCAGGACAAGAGCGCUGUUCAGAAACUGCUACUCAAGUGUACCCUCCUGGUUCUAGGGUUCCAUUGUGGUGACAACAAAUUACAAGUAGCUUACUUCCUCAGAGCCCAUCACUACCAACAGCAACUGACAGCUUCGAGAAGAACCUCAGUACCACUUUCCCUAACCAAAACUUUUCCUCUUUACUCCAAGCCCUGACAAGGAUAAAUCUCGAAACUUUAGAAACAAUGUAAUUUUACAAAUUAACUUAUACGCAGGGUUACUUCCUUUCCAAUUUGAUCAGGGAAUGCAGGGCAAGAAUAACCCAAAAUAUGCAAUGUAAAUCAUGCUGAAAUUAAAAUGUAUUUCCAUCUCCACCCCUCCACGAUGGCAUAAUUUCAAAUCAAUUUAUAUAAUGCAUAUCUAGUCCUCUGAAAAAUCAUUUUUUAAAAGUAGGGCUGUUAUUAUUCUGUCCCAGCCAUUGCAGAUCAAUUUAGAUUUGUUCUGUAAGAUUUCAAAUUUUCCCCAAAUGACACAGGUGGUUAUUUCAUAUGUAUCAGUCAUUAAAAGAUUAAUCCUUUUUAACUAAAAAGAGACAGUACGGCCAUUUACAAGUUAAAGGUAGAUUUAUUCUGAGCUGGUGUACCUCUCUUAAGAUGUUGUGAUUUACAAUACACCAAAUGUAGGAAACAGCUUCCAAAAUUUGUAUUGCUUCAUACAAAUCAGACAGGACUUUCAGGAGAAGGAGGCUAGGAUAGGUUCUCUGUUAAAUUUUGGAAUCCCUUCUCUCAAGAGUAACCUACUAUAAACUAUUUACAAAGCCUUUGUGAAAUCUGUAAAACAGGCUACUACUCCAUUGAGCAAGGAAACACAGGAAACAGGAUUCGAAGAUUUAAUGUUACUGCUCAUACUCCAAGUUAUAGAAUGCUUAAAAUUAAAUUAUCUGACUUCUAUAAUUCACUACACGGUGAGCUCAAAUUUACCUCAUCAGAAUGUUUAGUACUUCUGCACUUCUCUCACUUCUCAAAGUUUUCCCAUACCAGGAUUCCCACCACCUAGGAACAGCCUUUGCAAGAUUCCAAUGCUCUCUAAAUCCCCAAAGCAGGGUCUAUUUCCUGAUCGAACAAAGAGCAACAAAGAAGUGGGUGGUAACCACCUCUCUGAGGCAAGCCAGGACCCAUGGAGUCUGAUCUACAACACAAGCAGUAGCAGUUCCACGUCUCCCUACCUCCUCUUAUUUCCUACGAAGUCCUUCUGCCUGAAACUGGAAAACCCGAACUAUUAUUGAGGGAGUGAAGCCCUUCCAUUUGAAUCCUGAGAAAGACGCGCUCAAAGAACCCAGCGAACAAAGGAGAGGGUUGGAGCCCACGCAAAACAUGGGUGUGAUAAAGCCACACGAGACUUGAGCCCCCACCCUCAGUAACCACUCUCCAGCGCCCACCCGGGAGGAGGGAUCCGGGGAAAGGAUUGGCAUCUUCUGCUUCUUGAAUCCCCAUGCAGAAAACGUGGCUACCAACAGCUUCUGAAUCCACCUGCAGAGAGACUGACUGCUCUGUUAUUCCCCCAGCAUCUGUGAAGAGGCUCUGACUGGCUAAAAUGAAGGAGUCUGUAGCUUUAGGGGAAGACAGAGCCACAAGAUGAAAGGAGCUUGGAUGUCUGAACUAUUCCAUGGAGAAAAGCUGCAGCCAAUGAAGAACACCUGCAAUGGACUCUUAACCUGGGGGUGACGACAACCACUGAAAUAUGCUGCAUCUUAGUCCAGGGAUUUUUAAAGUGUGGUUCCUGGAAGAGCUGGAUCAGAGUCAUCUGUGUUGAUGGUUUAACGUAAAGAUUUUCGGGCCCCAAGACUCAAGUAGGACAAGGAAUUUGAAUUUUUAAGCAGCUCACCUGACUUGUCUGUCCUCUAAUGUCUGAGGACAUCUGACCUCUGCUCUUUCAGUAAAAGCAACAAUGGUUUUAUGAGCAUCGUCGUCACAUCUCUCCACUCGAGGGAUCCUUCUCAUUUCUCCCAGCUGAGGUCACCCACAGCUGCUACUUCUAACUGCUGGCUUCCAGCCUGCUGUCUGCCAGCUGGCUCUACCCUCUCCUAUAACACAGCAGAGAGUAGCUGUGGUCUCCUGCGUGCUCACCCUCCGCUCCCUUGGGUCCAUGCUUUGGUCCUGCACUUAAAUUUUACAAGCAUACUCUCUUUCUCUUAAGCAUUACUCACAGUAGCAAGCUAUGAAAUCGACCUGAGUGGCCAUCAACAGAUGAAUGGAUAAAGAAAAUGUACGUAUACACAAUGGAAUACUAUUCAGCCAUGAAAAAAACAAAGAAAUUCUGUUAUAUGUUACAAUGUGGAUUAACCUGGAGGACAUUAUGUUAGGUAAAAUAAGGCACAGAAAGACAAUACUGUAUAAUCUCACUCGUGUAUGGAAUCUAAGCAAGUUGAACUCAUAGAAGAAAAGAGUAGAAUGGUAUUUAUCUGAGGCUGGAGCUAUUGGAGGUGGCAAGGAGGUGAUGUUGGACAAAACCGAAAUUUCAGUUACACAGGAGGAAUACGUUCAAGGGAUCUAUUGUACAACAUCAUGACUAUAGUUAAUGAUACGUUACAUUUUUGAAAAAUGCUAAGACAGUGGAUAUUAUAUGUUCUCACCACAAAAAUGAUAACUGUAAGGUAACGUGUAUGUCAAUUAGAUAGAUUUAGUUAUUCCACAAUGUAUAUAUGCUUUAAAACUCAUGCUGUAUGUGAUAAAUACAUACCAUUUUGUCAAUUAAAAAAAUGUAUAAAAGGCAUAUAUUUCCCUAACUAAAUCUCAAGUUUCUUACUCAGCUCUGAGCUCCUUGAGGAUAGGAAUGUGUUCUAGUUAUGCUGACAUCCCUGAUACCUCGCAGGGUACUGACUGCAGAAGAAAGGGAGAGGAAGGAAGAAAAGGAAGGAAAGGAAACUUCUGUCAGUUAUGAAGAAUUAAUGUAAUAGAAAGGAAACACUUCAAACAAGAGUGAGAGAUGAUGGCAGAGAGUGAUCCUUUAAAUGCUGGAGCCACUUUUCUCUUUCUUCCUCCAAUAAGUUCCUUUUUUUUUUUGAGACCGAGUCUCACUCUGUCACUCAGGCUGGAGUGCAGUGGCACGAUCUCAGCUCACUGCAACCUCUGCUUCCUAGGCUCAAGUGAUUCUCCUGCCUCAGCCUCCUGAGUAGCUGGGAUUACAGGCGCCCACCACCAUGCCCGGCUAAUUUUUGUAUUUUUAAUAGAGACAGGGUUUCACCAUGUUGGCCAGGCUGGUCUUGAACUCCUGACCUCAGGUGAUCCACCCACCUUGGCCUCCGAAGUGCUGGGAUUACAGGUGUGAGCCACCAUGCCCGGCCCCUGUCUUCUUAGGGAUACUUUUUUUCUGGCCUCCAGCACAUGUUAGGGCCUCCCAUCUGAAUUUCAUAACUUUGUGGAAUCAUUUUACUGUAGUAAAGAGAGCAACAUGGAAUGCCAAGGAGUCUCGCCUGGGGGUGUCCCUUAUUCCUGUGCCUCUUGUGACUUGGGGGAAAGUCAGGCAUCUUUUUGUGGUUUAAUUUCACAGAGAAUUAUCCUCAUGAGGCACAGGGACACUGGAUAAAUAUAUGUAAAGAAAUUAAAGCUUUUUAGAUUAAAAAAAAAAAGCCAGGCCAGGACGAAGUCUUAUUAUGGAUGAUACACUUGAUGCACAUUACUGAAAAUGGGGUCAUUUGUGGGCAAUGCAAAUGAUUUUUGUCCUAAUAACAAUUUCAUGAUGCUAAUUUAAAAAAUAUUCUUAGAGCCUCAAUUAAAAAUAAAUGCAUUUCUUUGACUUUUAUGUUUUAAAAGAAGCCUAAUUUUAAGAAUAUAGUUGAUGAUUAAUUAUACUGCCCUUUUUCAUAGACCUGAUAAU